UACCAUCUUAAGGGCCGCGUUGCGGAAGUGUACCAUCUUAAGGGCCGCGUUGCGGAAGUGUAAUCUUAAGGGCCGCGUUGCGGAAGUGUACCAUCUUAAGGGCCGCAUUGCGGAAGUGUAAUCUUAAGGGCCGCGUUGCGGAAGUGUAAUCUUAAGGGCCGCGUUGCGGAAGUGUAUCAUCUUUGUCAGUGCAGGUAGUGCAGCGCAGUCAGCGCGGGGUUGUCAGCGCAGUCGGUGCAGCGCAGUCGGUGCGAGGUUGUCAACACAGAUCACUUGAGUCUUCCCAGCACAGGGAAUCGUGUAUGCUUAAU
rnacentral:lncRNA from 1 species